UGUGGCUCAGUGGUAGAGCACUUGCCUAGCAUGUGUGAAGCACUGGGUUCGAUUCUCAGCA
rnacentral:tRNA from 1 species